rnacentral:misc_RNA from 1 species
GGAGUCGCAUGACCUGCAAAGCUCUGGCCAAAUGCCCAAAAGCUCCUUUACAAUACCUAGAUGGCCACGCUUAGCAGCAACAUGAAAAGGGUGCAAAUCAGAUUUGGACCUAAUCUUCAGGAUCUGGAGAGUGGAAAAUUGAAGCAAAUAGCUAAAAACCUCCUCAAGAUUAUUCUCAGCGGCCACAUACAAAGCUGUCUCCCCAGCAUCAUUCUGCAUCGCCAUCAGAUCGGUAAUCGAAGAACCCUCAGGCUGUUC